rnacentral:rRNA from 1 species
AGAGUUUUAUCCUGGCUCAGGAUGAACGCUGGCGGCGUGCUUAACACAUGCAAGUCGAACGAAGCACUUUAUUUGAUUUCCUUCGGGACUGAUUAUUUUGUGACUGAGUGGCGGACGGGUGAGUAACGCGUGGGUAACCUGCCUUGUACAGGGGGAUAACAGUUGGAAACGGCUGCUAAUACCGCAUAAGCGCACAGCAUCGCAUGAUGCAGUGUGAAAAACUCCGGUGGUAUAAGAUGGACCCGCGUUGGAUUAGCUAGUUGGUGAGGUAACGGCCCACCAAGGCGACGAUCCAUAGCCGACCUGAGAGGGUGACCGGCCACAUUGGGACUGAGACACGGCCCAAACUCCUACGGGAGGCAGCAGUGGGGAAUAUUGCACAAUGGGCGAAAGCCUGAUGCAGCGACGCCGCGUGAGCGAAGAAGUAUUUCGGUAUGUAAAGCUCUAUCAGCAGGGAAGAUAAUGACGGUACCUGACUAAGAAGCACCGGCUAAAUACGUGCCAGCAGCCGCGGUAAUACGUAUGGUGCAAGCGUUAUCCGGAUUUACUGGGUGUAAAGGGAGCGCAGGCGGUGCGGCAAGUCUGAUGUGAAAGCCCGGGGCUCAACCCCGGUACUGCAUUGGAAACUGUCGUACUAGAGUGUCGGAGGGGUAAGCGGAAUUCCUAGUGUAGCGGUGAAAUGCGUAGAUAUUAGGAGGAACACCACCGGCGAAGGCGGCUUCCUGGUCGAUGACAGACGCUGAGGCUCGAAAGCGUGGGGAGCACACAAGAUUAGAUACCCCUGGUAGUCCACGCCGUAAACGAGAAUUACUAGGUGUUGGAAAGCAUUACUUGUCGGUGCCGUCGCAAACGCAGUAAGUAUUCCACCUGGGGGAGUACGUUGGCAAGAAAUGAAACUCAAAGGAAUUGACGGGGACCCGCACAAGCGGUGGAGCAUGUGGUUUUAAUUCGAAGCAACGCGAAGGAACCUUACCAAAUCUUGACAUCCCUCUGACCGGUCUUUAAUCGGACCUUCUCUUCGGAGCAGAGGUGACAGGUGGUGCAUGGUUGUCGUCAGCUCGUGUCGUGAGAUGUUGGGUUAAGUCCCGCAACGAGCGCAACCCCUAUCCUCAGUAGCCAGCAUUUAAGGUGGGCACUCUGGGGAGACUGCCAGGGAUAACCUGGAGGAAGGCGGGGAUGACGUCAAAUCAUCAUGCCCCUUAUGAUUUGGGCUACACACGUGCUACAAUGGCGUAAACAAAGGGAAGCGAGAUCGUGAGAUGGAGCAAAUCCCAAAAAUAACGUCCCAGUUCGGACUGUAGUCUGCAACCCGACUACACGAAGCUGGAAUCGCUAGUAAUCGCGGAUCAGAAUGCCGCGGUGAAUACGUUCCCGGGUCUUGUACACACCGCCCGUCA